CAGCACCUACAUCCACUCCCCAAGACCUCUUGGAAAUUUCACUAUAAUCCUACAGAUUACAGCCGGUUGUUUUACAAGCUCACAACCCAACUUGUUGUUUUACGAGCGCACAACGAACUCGGUCGGUUUUCCCAGGCUCACCGACUAGAACCACUCCGAUUGUUUUCCCGGGAUCACAAUCGAACCCUUACACGUUGGUUUUACCCUCGGCUCACCAACAAACCUAACACCGUUGGUUUUCCCUUUGGCUUACCAACAACCCUUAACCCCUUGAUUCAAUCCCUUGAUUGAAUCAAAUUACGGGAUAUUAAAACAAAGUGUAAAACAAAUCAAAGCUUCUUAAAUAAGCAAAUAUAACAAUAUAAACAAAGAGAGUAAAGAGAAGCCCUCAAACGAGUUUUGAAGAUGAAGGAGCUCGGCUUCUUCUUUACUUGACCCUCUUCUGAUUUGGCACGAAGUAGAGGAUUUCCGAGGCAGCACACGGAUGAAGAGGAAGCUUUGGGAUUCACUUGGAUGCUCUUCUUCUCUCUAUUUCACUUUGGAUGGCCCUUUUGUGCUUAUAGGAGAUUUCCCUUGUAAUCUCUUUGAGAUCUCUUCUCUAAAUGUUCUUUCCCACUUCCAUAACUUCUCCCCUAGCUCUCUUCUUG
rnacentral:lncRNA from 1 species